UGGGGAAUAUUGCACAAUGGGCGCAAGCCUGAUGCAGCCAUGCCGCGUGUAUGAAGAAGGCCUUCGGGUUGUAAAGUACUUUCAGCGGGGAGGAAGGGAGUAAAGUUAAUACCUUUGCUCAUUGACGUUACCCGCAGAAGAAGCACCGGCUAACUCCGUGCCAGCAGCCGCGGUAAUACGGAGGGUGCAAGCGUUAAUCGGAAUUACUGGGCGUAAAGCGCACGCAGGCGGUUUGUUAAGUCAGAUGUGAAAUCCCCGGGCUCAACCUGGGAACUGCAUCUGAUACUGGCAAGCUUGAGUCUCAUAGAGGGGGGUAGAAUUCCAGGUGUAGCGAUGAAAUGCGUAGAGAUCUGGAGGAAUACCGGUGGCGAAGGCGGCCCCCUGGACGAAGACUGACGCUCAGGUGCGAAAGCGUGGGGAGCAAACAGG
rnacentral:rRNA from 1 species